rnacentral:rRNA from 2 species
UUAAGCGACUAAGCGUACACGGUGGAUGCCCUGGCAGUCAGAGGCGAUGAAGGACGUGCUAAUCUGCGAAAAGCGUCGGUAAGGUGAUAUGAACCGUUAUAGCGGCGAUGUCCGAAUGGGGAAACCCAGUGCAAUUCGUUGCACUAUCGUUAACUGAAUACAUAGGUUAACGAGGCGAACCGGGGGAACUGAAACAUCUAAGUACCCCGAGGAAAAGAAAUCAACCGAGAUUCCCCCAGUAGCGGCGAGCGAACGGGGAGCAGCCCGGAGUCUGAAUCAGCUUGUGUGUUAGUGGAAGCGUCUGGAAAGUCGCAGGGUACAGGGUGAUACUCCCGUACACUAAAACACACAGGUUGUGAACUCGAAGAGUAGGGCGGGACACGUGGUAUCCUGUCUGAAUAUGGGGGGACCAUCCUCCAAGGCUAAAUACUCCUGACUGACCGAUAGUGAACCAGUACCGUGAGGGAAAGGCGAAAAGAACCCCGGCGAGGGGAGUGAAAAAGAACCUGAAACCGUGUACGUACAAGCAGUAGGAGCCCACUAGUUGGGUGACUGCGUACCUUUUGUAUAAUGGGUCAGCGACUUAUAUUCUGUAGCAAGGUUAACCGUAUAGGGGAGCCGCAGGGAAACCGAGUCUUAACUGGGCGUUAAGUUGCAGGGUAUAGACCCGAAACCCGGUGAUCUAGCCAUGGGCAGGUUGAAGGUUGGGUAACACUAACUGGAGGACCGAACCGACUAAUGUUGAAAAAUUAGCGGAUGACUUGUGGCUGGGGGUGAAAGGCCAAUCAAACCGGGAGAUAGCUGGUUCUCCCCGAAAGCUAUUUAGGUAGCGCCUCGUGAACUCAUCUUCGGGGGUAGAGCACUGUUUCGGCUAGGGGGUCAUCCCGACUUACCAACCCGAUGCAAACUACGAAUACCGAAGAAUGUUAUCACGGGAGACACACGGCGGGUGCUAACGUCCGUCGUGAAGAGGGAAACAACCAGACCGCCAGCUAAGGUCCCAAAGUCAUGGUUAAGUGGGAAACGAUGUGGGAAGGCCCAGACAGCCAGGAUGUUGGCUUAGAAGCAGCCAUCAUUUAAAGAAAGCGUAAUAGCUCACUGGUCGAGUCGGCCUGCGCGGAAGAUGUAACGGGGCUAAACCAUGCACCGAAGCUGCGGCAGCGACGCUUAUGCGUUGUUGGGUAGGGGAGCGUUCUGUAAGCCGUUGAAGGUGGCCUGUGAGGGUUGCUGGAGGUAUCAGAAGUGCGAAUGCUGACAUAAGUAACGAUAAUGCGGGUGAAAAACCCGCACGCCGGAAGACCAAGGGUUCCUGUCCAACGUUAAUCGGGGCAGGGUGAGUCGACCCCUAAGGCGAGGCCGAAAGGCGUAGUCGAUGGGAAACAGGUUAAUAUUCCUGUACUCGGUGUUACUGCGAAGGGGGGACGGAGAAGGCUAUGUUGGCCGGGCGACGGUUGUCCCGGUUUAAGCAUGUAGGCGGAUGUUCCAGGUAAAUCCGGAACGUUAUUAACGCUGAGGUGUGAUGACGAGGCACUACGGUGCUGAAGUGACAAAUGCCCUGCUUCCAGGAAAAGCCUCUAAGCAUCAGGUAACAUCAAUCGUACCCCAAACCGACACAGGUGGUCAGGUAGAGAAUACCAAGGCGCUUGAGAGAACUCGGGUGAAGGAACUAGGCAAAAUGGUGCCGUAACUUCGGGAGAAGGCACGCUGAUGGUAAGUGAAGUGACUUGCUCAUGGAGCUGAAAUCAGUCGAAGAUACCAGCUGGCUGCAACUGUUUAUUAAAAACACAGCACUGUGCAAACACGAAAGUGGACGUAUACGGUGUGACGCCUGCCCGGUGCCGGAAGGUUAAUUGAUGGGGUUAUCCGUAAGGAGAAGCUCUUGAUCGAAGCCCCGGUAAACGGCGGCCGUAACUAUAACGGUCCUAAGGUAGCGAAAUUCCUUGUCGGGUAAGUUCCGACCUGCACGAAUGGCGUAAUGAUGGCCAGGCUGUCUCCACCCGAGACUCAGUGAAAUUGAACUCGCUGUGAAGAUGCAGUGUACCCGCGGCAAGACGGAAAGACCCCGUGAACCUUUACUAUAGCUUGACACUGAACACUGGUCCUUGAUGUGUAGGAUAGGUGGGAGGCUUUGAAGUGUGGACGCCAGUCUGCAUGGAGCCAUCCUUGAAAUACCACCCUUUAAUGGCUGGUGUUCUAACGUGGGCCCGUAAUCCGGGUUGCGGACAGUGUCUGGUGGGUAGUUUGACUGGGGCGGUCUCCUCCUAAAGAGUAACGGAGGAGCACGAAGGUCAGCUAAUCCUGGUCGGACAUCAGGAGGUUAGUGUAAUGGCAUAAGCUGGCUUGACUGCGAGCGUGACGGCGCGAGCAGGUGCGAAAGCAGGUCAUAGUGAUCCGGUGGUUCUGAAUGGAAGGGCCAUCGCUCAACGGAUAAAAGGUACUCCGGGGAUAACAGGCUGAUACCGCCCAAGAGUUCAUAUCGACGGCGGUGUUUGGCACCUCGAUGUCGGCUCAUCACAUCCUGGGGCUGAAGUAGGUCCCAAGGGUAUGGCUGUUCGCCAUUUAAAGUGGUACGCGAGCUGGGUUUAGAACGUCGUGAGACAGUUCGGUCCCUAUCUGCCGUGGGCGCUGGAGAAUUGAGGGGGGCUGCUCCUAGUACGAGAGGACCGGAGUGGACGCAUCACUGGUGUUCGGGUUGUCAUGCCAAUGGCAUUGCCCGGUAGCUAAAUGCGGAAGAGAUAAGUGCUGAAAGCAUCUAAGCACGAAACUUGCCCCGAGAUGAGUUCUCCCUGACUCCUUGAGAGUCCUGAAGGAACGUUGAAGACGACGACGUUGAUAGGCCGGGUGUGUAAGCGCAGCGAUGCGUUGAGCUAACCGGUACUAAUGAACCGUGAGGCUUAACCUU